CCUCCAGCUCGGCGAGCGCGCCGACGCCCGCGUAGCCGCCGCCGACGAAGACGAAGGUCAGGGCGGCGUGCCGCAGUUCGGGGUCGCGGGUGGAGGA
rnacentral:tRNA from 1 species